AUUGAACGCUGGCGGCAGGCCUAACACAUGCAAGUCGAGCGGAUGAAGGGAGCUUGCUCCUGGAUUCAGCGGCGGACGGGUGAGUAAUGCCUAGGAAUCUGCCUGGUAGUGGGGGAUAACGUCCGGAAACGGGCGCUAAUACCGCAUACGUCCUGAGGGAGAAAGUGGGUGAUCUUCGGACCUCACGCUAUCAGAUGAGCCUAGGUCGGAUUAGCUAGUUGGUGGGGUAAAGGCCUACCAAGGCGACGAUCCGUAACUGGUCUUAGAGGAUGAUCAGUCACACUGGAAGUGAGACACGGUCCAGACUCCUACGGGAGGCAGCAGUGGGGAAUAUUGGACGAUGGGCGAAAGCCUGAUCCAGCCAUGCCGCGUGUGUGAAGAAGGUCUUCGGAUUGUAAAGCACUUUAAGUUGGGAGGAAGGGCAGUAAGUUAAUACCUUGCUGUUUUGACGUUACCAACAGAAUAAGCACCGGCUAACUUCGUG
rnacentral:rRNA from 1 species